rnacentral:tRNA from 1 species
CCGUCGAUAGCUCAGUUGGUAGAGCGGUGGACUGUAGAUCCAUCGCUCGCUGGUUCGAAUCCGGCUCGACAGG